GUAGGUGAACCUGCGGAAGGAUCAUUAUUGAAACUUGAAUCGUAGCAUUGAGAACUGUUGCUGACCUGUUAAAGGGUAUGUGCACGUUCGACGUGUUGCGUUCUAUUCAUCCACCUGUGCACCUUUGUAGACUUGAUUAACUUUCGCUCUCGAGCGGUUAGAAGGGUUGCUUUCGAGCUCCCUUUGUCUAUCAAGUCUAUGUCUAUAUAAUCUCUUGUAUGUCUAGAAUGUCUUGUUUAUGGGACGCAAGUCCUUUAAAUCUUAUACAACUUUCAACAACGGAUCUCUUGGCUCUC
rnacentral:misc_RNA from 1 species